rnacentral:rRNA from 1 species
UACGUAGGCAGCGAGCGUUGUUCGGAGUUACUGGGCGUAAAGGGUGUGUAGGCGGUUGUUUAAGUUUGGUGUGAAAUCUCCCGGCUCAACUGGGAGGGUGCGCCGAAUACUGAAUGACUUCGAGUGCGGGAGAGGAGAGUGGAAUUCCUGGUGUAGCGGUGAAAUGCGUAGAUAUCGUAAGGAAGACCAGUGGCGAAGGCGAGUCUCUGGACAGCAACUGACGCUGAGGCACGAAGGCCAGGGGAGCAAACGGG